GACGAACGCUGGCGGCGUGCUUAACACAUGCAAGUCGAGCGAGAAAGCUCCUUCGGGAGUGAGUACAGCGGCGAACGGGUGAGUAACACGUGGGCAACCUGCCCUGGAGAGCGGGACAACCCGGGGAAACCCGAGCUAAUACCGCAUGAAUCGUCAUGGCUCAAGCUGUGACGGGAAAAGGUAGCUUCGGCCUCCGCUCCAGGAUGGGCCCGCGGCCGAUUAGCUUGUUGGUGGGGUAACGGCUCACCAAGGCGACGAUCGGUAGCUGGUCUGAGAGGACGAUCAGCCACACUGGGACUGAGACACGGCCCAGACUCCUACGGGAGGCAGCAGUGGGGAAUCUUGCGCAAUGGGCGAAAGCCUGACGCAGCAACGCCGCGUGAGGGAUGACGGCCU
rnacentral:rRNA from 1 species